rnacentral:lncRNA from 1 species
UCCUCUCUAGUGCAAUCAAGAGUUGAUUGAAAGAGAGGACAUCAGCCAUCAAAGCUAUCUCUGCAAGGGAGCUAGCACCCCGGUGAGAUAGAGAUCUUGGAUCGGAUCCUGCUUCGUGUGGAUACCCAUAGAGGCCGGACGUUUGAACGGCUUCAAGCGAACCCUCUUCCAAAACCACGAAUUCAGAUUUGCGGUGAUCAUCUACCCGCGCAAGGUGAAGAUUUGAUCUUCCUAAUAAUUUUAAAAGUUUUAAUUCUUACCUAAUUACGAAAGGUCUCGAAACAACGUUCAUGCGAUGAACGUCAAACCCGUGCAUGCCGAUUCCGCUGCCAUCUGAAAAAUUUUUGAAAUAUCAGCGGCAUGGGC